rnacentral:rRNA from 1 species
AGAGUUUGAUCCUGGCUCAGGACGAACGCUGGCGGCGCGCCUAACACAUGCAAGUCGAACGAGAGAUGAGGAGCUUGCUCUUCAAAUCGAGUGGCGAACGGGUGAGUAACGCGUGAGGAACCUGCCUCAAAGAGGGGGACAACAGUUGGAAACGACUGCUAAUACCGCAUAAGCCCACAGCUUGGCAUCGAGCAGAGGGAAAAGGAGCAAUCCGCUUUGAGAUGGCCUCGCGUCCGAUUAGCUAGUUGGUGAGGUAACGGCCCACCAAGGCGACGAUCGGUAGCCGGACUGAGAGGUUGAACGGCCACAUUGGGACUGAGACACGGCCCAGACUCCUACGGGAGGCAGCAGUGGGGAAUAUUGCACAAUGGGGGAAACCCUGAUGCAGCGACGCCGCGUGGAGGAAGAAGGUCUUCGGAUUGUAAACUCCUGUUGUUGAGGAAGAUAAUGACGGUACUCAACAAGGAAGUGACGGCUAACUACGUGCCAGCAGCCGCGGUAAAACGUAGGUCACAAGCGUUGUCCGGAAUUACUGGGUGUAAAGGGAGCGCAGGCGGACCGGCAAGUUGGAAGUGAAAACUAUGGGCUCAACCCAUAAAUUGCUUUCAAAACUGCUGGCCUUGAGUAGUGCAGAGGUAGGUGGAAUUCCCGGUGUAGCGGUGGAAUGCGUAGAUAUCGGGAGGAACACCAGUGGCGAAGGCGACCUACUGGGCACCAACUGACGCUGAGGCUCGAAAGCAUGGGUAGCAAACAGGAUUAGAUACCCUGGUAGUCCAUGCCGUAAACGAUGAUUACUAGGUGUUGGAGGAUUGACCCCUUCAGUGCCGCAGUUAACACAAUAAGUAAUCCACCUGGGGAGUACGACCGCAAGGUUGAAACUCAAAGGAAUUGACGGGGGCCCGCACAAGCAGUGGAGCAUGCGGUUUAAUUCGAAGCAACGCGAAGAACCUUACCUGAUCUUGACACCCCGAUGACCGCUUCGUAAUGGAAGCUUUUCUUCGGAACAUCGGUGACAGGUGGUGCAUGGUUGUCGUCAGCUCGUGUCGUGAGAUGUUGGGUUAAGUCCCGCAACGAGCGCAACCCCUAUCUUCAGUAGCCAGCAGGUUAAGCUGGGCACUCUGGAGAGACUGCCAGGGAUAACCUGGAGGAAGGUGGGGAUGACGUCAAAUCAUCAUGCCCCUUAUGACCAGGGCUACACACGUGCUACAAUGGCGUAAACAAAGAGAAGCGAACUCGCGAGGGUAAGCAAAUCUCAAAAAUAACGUCUCAGUUCGGAUUGUAGUCUGCAACUCGACUACAUGAAGCUGGAAUCGCUAGUAAUCGCAGAUCAGGAUGCUGCGGUGAAUACGUUCCCGGGUUUUGCACACACCGCCCGUCA